rnacentral:tRNA from 1 species
UUCAGUUGCAUUGAUCAGAGCCUUUUAGGUGUUUUUAUAAGAGUACUAAUGGGUAUUAAAAGUAAAUUUUAGUA